rnacentral:rRNA from 1 species
GACGAACGCUGGCGGCGUGCUUAACACAUGCAAGUCGAACGGAAAGGCCCUGCUUGCAGGGUACUCGAGUGGCGAACGGGUGAGUAACACGUGGGUGAUCUGCCCUGCACUUCGGGAUAAGCUUGGGAAACUGGGUCUAAUACCGGAUAGGAACCAUCUUUAGUGUGGUGGUUGGAAAGUUUUUUCGGUGUAGGAUGAGCUCGCGGCCUAUCAGCUUGUUGGUGGGGUAAUGGCCUACCAAGGCGGCGACGGGUAGCCGGCCUGAGAGGGUGUACGGCCACAUUGGGACUGAGCUACGGCCCAGACUCCUACGGGAGGCAGCAGUGGGGAAUAUUGCACAAUGGGCGCAAGCCUGAUGCAGCGACGCCGCGUGGGGGAUGAAGGCCUUCGGGUUGUAAACUCCUUUCGCUAGGGACGAAGCUUUGUUGUGACGGUACCUAGAUAAGAAGCACCGGCUAACUACGUG